rnacentral:snoRNA from 1 species
CCCGAUGAUGAUUACUCCCGCUGCUGAAAAUGAUGAGAAGUCGCCAAGCUGAGGG